UAAAUGCAUGGAAUUUAUUCUUAGUCCUUUUCUUAAUUACGACUUUUUAUUUCUCUGGUGUUCUCUAGGGGAGGGGUUAGAGAAGAGAGGAAAAGGAAGAAAGAAAGGGGGCAGGGAAAUAUAGAUUCAAUGCUUUUGUUUUGUUUCUGGGCUGCUUGCUAUCAGCAAAGUAGAGAGAUUUAACGGAUCUUGCCGAGAAUGCAAGCCUCAUUCCAAGGAAGCCAGAGCUCAGAAGACAUGGAACAAAUACAAUGAAAACAUAACUUGAGGUCGGAAAAUGUCCCCUGAAUAUUUAUGUCAAUGUCCUACCUUAGUGAAUAUUACUUAAUACUGUGGCUCCUUUAAAGCAUUGUGAUUUCAUUAUGAAGUCAGAUGGAAUGAGGAGUGUGUAAAUCCAGAAUCAGAAUCCCAGCGACGAAGCUUUUCUUGCUCUGUUACCUUGGAAAAUGCUUUGAACCAGACCAGAUAAGAAAAGUAAAAGUCUGGAGUGUAAUCCUUCCAAUUGUCUUUUGGCUUCUCUUCUACUUCUACAAAAAGUUCAACAAGUCGGUGGGCAGAAGUCUAAAAUCAAGGUGUCAGCAGUGUGGAAUCCUUCUGGAGGCUUUGAGAAGAGGACACUGAAGCCAAAGGAGAAAAUUAACUAGCUCAGUCUUGCAUGACCCCUGUGAAUGGACUGAUCUUGAAACCCAGAAAUUAGAAUUUGAAACAACGGAAAGAGAGAAAUUUUAGGUUAGUAGCUAAAUCCCCAAGGAUACUAAUUAGAGAAAGAUGUUGGAAUUGCCUUAAUGAGUCACUGCCAACGCAAGUCCUAAGGAAGCAAAGACUGUGAGUAAGCAAAGGUAGCCAGCUGCUGGGAAGAGGACAAUAGAGGAAAAGGUCAGAGGGACUUUAAAAGACUGACUGUGGGCUCCCUGAGGGAAGGAGGGAUGGAGAGAGUAUCGGGUCCUAUAGAAUACCUUAAUUGUUUUUAUGACUUCUCUUUUCCAUAUCCAGUUCACAUGUACUCCUUUCUGUGCAUUAAAUUGAGUUUCUAUUGGCUUCUUUGUAACAAAAAGAACUGAACAGAAACACAUAUCUAUUGGACAAAGAGCAAUAAAAUGAUAUAAUAACUGUAUCUGAGGGUUUUUUCAUUUUAAAGAAUAAAACAAAACAAAAAUCAAACAAAAAAAACCAUCUAUCUGAUGUUGCUCCACUCCCAACAGCAUCACUAACCGGUAUGUACCCAG
rnacentral:lncRNA from 1 species